rnacentral:tRNA from 1 species
UCCCAUAUGGUAUAGCGGUUAGGAUUUCUGGUUUUCACCCAGACGGCCCGGGUUCGACUCCCGGUAUUGGAA